CAUGCUUAACACAUGCAAGUCGAACGGAAACGAUGGAAGCUUGCUUCCNGGCGUCGAGUGGCGAACGGGUGAGUAAUGCUUGGGAAUCUGCCUAAUAGUGGGGAACAACUCGGGGAAACUCGGGCUAAUACCGCAUAAUCUCUUCGGAGGAAAGGGGGCCUCUACAUGUAAGCUCUCGCUAAUAGAUGAGCCCAAGUCAGAUUAGCUUGUUGGUAAGGUAACGGCUUACCAAGGCUACGAUCUGUAGCUGGUCUGAGAGGAUGAUCAGCCACACUGGGACUGAGACACGGCCCAGACUCCUACGGGAGGCAGCAGUGGGGAAUAUUGCACAAUGGGCGAAAGCCUGAUGCAGCAAUGCCGCGUGUGUGAAGAAGGCUCUAGGGUUGUAAAGCACUUUCAAUAAGGAAGAAAAGCAUAAGGUUAAUAACCUUAUGUAUUGACGUAACUUAUACAAGAAGCACCGGCUAAUUCCGUGCCAGCAGCCGCGGUAAUACGGAAGGUGCAAGCGUUAAUCGGAAUUACUGGGCGUAAAGCGCGCGUAGGCUGUUAUCUAAGUCGGAUGUGAAAUCCUCGGGCUCAACCCGGGAACUGCAUCCGAAACUAAAUAACUAGAGUAUGGGAGAGGUAAGUAGAAUUUCCGGUGUAGCGGUGAAAUGCGUAGAUAUCGGAAGGAAUACCAGUGGCGAAGGCGGCUUACUGGACCAAUACUGACGCUGAGGUGCGAAAGCGUGGGGAGCGAACAGGAUUAGAUACCCUGGUAGUCCACGCCGUAAACGAUGAGAACUAGAUGUUGGGAGGGUUAGCCUCUCAGUGUCGCAGCUAACGCAUUAAGUUCUCCGCCUGGGGA
rnacentral:rRNA from 1 species